rnacentral:rRNA from 1 species
GACCCGACUGCUAUUUGGGUGAGAAUAAGCCAUGCGAGUUGAAUGGGAUACCUAAAGUUCCCAUAGCAAACUGCUCAGUAACACAUGAUCAACUUACCCUAUAGAGAAAAAUAACCUCGGGAAACUGAGGAUAAUGUUUCAUAAUUGAAUUGGCUUGGAAAAGUUUUUCAAUGAAAAGGAUAAAAAAAAUGGUUUUUAUCUGCUAUAGGAUAGGAUCGUGUUCGAUUAUGGUUGUUGGUGAGAUAAUGGCUCACCAAGCCGAUAAUCGAUAGGGGCCGUGAGAGCGGGAGCCCCGAGAUGGGUACUGAGACAACGACCCAGGCCUUACGAGGCGCAGCAGGCGCGGAACCUCCGCAAUACACGAAAGUGUGACGGGGUUACCCAAAGUGUUCAAUAGAACUGUGGUAGGUGAGUAAUGUCCCCUACUAGAAAGGAGAGGGCAAGGCUGGUGCCAGCCGCCGCGGUAAAACCAGCUCUUCAAGUGGUCGGGAUAAUUAUUGGGCUUAAAGUGUCCGUAGCCGGUUUAGUAAGUUCCUGGUAAAAUCGGGUAGCUUAACUAUCUGCAUGCUAGGAAUACUGCUAUACUAGAGGGCGGGAGAGGUCUGAGGUACUACAGGGGUAGGGGUGAAAUCUUAUAAUCCUUGUAGGACCACCUGUGGCGAAGGCGUCAGACUGGAACGCGCCUGACGGUGAGGGACGAAAGCCAGGGGAGCGAACCGGAUUAGAUACCCGGGUAGUCCUGGCCGUAAACGAUGCAUACUANGUGAUGGUACGGNCAUGA